rnacentral:piRNA from 1 species
AUUUGAAUCUCUGAAGACACUGAAAGG